UUUCCGUAGGUGAACCUGCGGAAGGAUCAUUAAAAAUGAGACUCUUUAAUGGUCAUUAAUAAUCCUACCCUUUGUGAAUUGUUGUUUGAAAUAAUUUUUUCUAAAAAAAUUAUUGAAUGUCUUUCCCUGUUUUGAUGGAGCUGUAAUAGCAAAUCAUCAGGGGAAUGGCAAACGAUAAUUUUUUUUGAAAAGACCUUUUUUAAAUUAAACUUUUUGUAUUCAUUUGUCUAAAAUUAUUUUAUAAUAUAAAAACAACUUUUGACAAUGGAUCUCUUGGUUCUCGCAACGAUGAAGAACGCAGCAAAAUGCGAUAAGUAGUGUGAAUUGCAGAAUACGUGAAUCAUCGAAUCUUCGAACGCAUAUUGCACUUUUUGGUUUACCAAAAAAGUAUGUCUGUUUGAGUAUCAGUAAAAUAUUCUCAUAAAAACUAUUGUUUUUAUGGUUAUGAGUGUUUUACAACGAUAAACAAGUUGUUUCACUUUAAAUUCUUUGUCUUUUAAAAAAUCAUUAAAAACUGAUUUUUUUUAAAAUUGGAUAAAAUUUCCCGUAAAAAGGAAUAACCUAAACAAUUUAAUUAAAAUUGGUUUGAUUUCUUUAAGACUUUAAAGGAAAAAAGUAAAAAUUAACUUGAUCUCAAAUCAGAUAAGAGUACCCGCUGAACUUAAGCAUAUCAAUAAGCGGAGGAAAAGAAACUAACUAGGAUUCCCUCGUAACGGCGAGUGAAGCGGGAAGAGCUCAAAUUUGAAAUCUUCAAGGUUCUACCUUGACGAAUUGUAGUUUAAAGAAGUGUUUUCUGUUGGAGUUUUGGUAAAAGUUCUUUGGAAUAGGACAUCAUAGAGGGUGAGAAUCCCGUAUUUGACCAUUAUUUCCAACUUUGUGAUACACUUUCAAGAGUCGGAUUGUUUGGGAAUGCAGUCCAAAAUGGGUGGUAAAUUUCAUCUAAAGCUAAAUACUGGCGAGAGACCGAUAGCGAACAAGUACCGUGAGGGAAAGAUGAAAGAACUUUGAAAAGAGAGUUAAACAGUACGUGAAAUUGUCAAAAGGGAAGCGUUUGACACCAGUGUUGUUUUCUCGAAAAUCAAUUAAAAUGGCGGGAUUUUGUGUUGUAUUGACUUUAUCAGCUUUCUGCACUUUUUUCCUGUCUUUUUUAAUGCACUUUUCGUUUAACAAGUCAACAUCAAUUUCUUUUGUUGUAAAAGGGUCAUUGGAAGGUGGCUUUCUUUUCGGAGAAAGUGUUUAUAGCCUUUGGCCUCUGCAAUCGGAGAGAUUGAGGUCUGCAGCGUAGAUCUUCGGGUUAGAUGCAUUUGUGCUAAGCUAUAGCCUUUCAUAGACAACUUGUUGACUAUGAUCAGUCAUGUAGCUUACUCGCUUAUGUCAUUU
rnacentral:misc_RNA from 1 species